rnacentral:lncRNA from 1 species
UUCAGAUUUCUUUUCCACUUACCUACACGAUAGGACAUUUAGAGCCAGUUGUUGAAGUCUAAUGGAUUGACUGAGAUUGUUCCAUCUUACUCUUUUUAGAGGCAAAUAAAGAGGAUCAAUCAAACUUCUAAUCUUGAAUUCUGCAUUUGCAUAAAGAACUCUGGGGAGUAUCGUCCACUUUCAAUAGCAGGAGACAGGACCUCAGUGUCACAGAGGCUGGCAUGCAAUUGUGAGAUCACAGCUGACUACAGCCUCAAUAUCUUGGGCUCGAGCGAUCCUCCCACCUCAGCCUCCUGAGUAGCUGGAACUACAGGUGCAUACCAUUAUGUCCAUCUGAAUAUUUUACUUCUUGUAGAAAUGGGAUCUUGCCA